GAUGAUAAUGGACUGAACCUCUGAACCGGUUGUAGAAUAAGAAAGAAGGACCCCAAAUUUGAAGUCAGUGGCUGGGCUCUGUAAGCAUGAGCCCACAAGAAGUCCGAUGGCUGGCUUAAUCUACUAACUCCCACCUCGACAGGAUUUACGGUAACCCAACCGACAAGAAGGUAGAGCAGAAGUACACAUGAAGAAGUUGUUCUUGGAUUCUACUGCCUAUGAAAGCAGAUUCCAGGACAUGGAGAGAGUCCAAUCCAGGUCCUGCUAGGGGAAAAUGAAAGCUUCCAGACAGUCCACAUCUGAACCAUCUCAGAUAGCACCAACCUCAUCGAAAGCGAUUUAGUACAGAUGUAACCCAUUUCAAAAGCAGCCUCACGGGAAACCUCUUAUCCAGAUUGCUGCCCUAGGAAUUUCUUACAGUGAAAUUCUGGGCUACAAGGGCCUAGUUUCCACCCUUCAGCAAGUUCUAAGGAAUAAAGGACCCGCUAUGUAGAUAUGAAAUUAGUAUUCUUGGGGUGAGGAGUGAUACGCCCACCCCUGGAAGUCGAAGCAGGGGAGUUUGCUGCCUUCACUGACUGACACUCUGGGCGCCUUACUGAUAUGGUCCUCUCCCUGUCCUCUGCUCAGACUGUUUGAAGGACACUUCCUGAGCCUGGCUCACUGCACGUUAAUGACAGCCCGGCAGAAGCCAAGCUUGAGAAGACCAGAGAUGGGAAGCCUGCGGUAGACACUUGCUAGUUUUUUGAUACCUCAGCUUCUUUUUUUUUUUUUUUUUUGGUAAACCUGUUUUCUCCCUAGAGAAUUUCCUCUACCCUGCGUUGUUUUGUGUUGGUGAGCGUCACUGCUGACCUAUAAAUCCCACUCUUCUCAGGCACAGUCGUUGGAAUUUCUUUGUAAACAGUCAGAACCGAUAUUUGCCAACACUACUGGCAGAGACAACUUUUCUCUCCUCUUUGGGCUGAACCUGAGAGAACUCGAGGCUAAGGUGACUGGAGCUGUUAGAGCUCAGCCAAGAAAGAUGCACACACAGCAGCAGCACAGCCAAGUGAUGAGUAAGCAAAAAAAAAAAAAAAAAAAAAAAAAAUCAGGUUCUGGUGGCACACUCCCAACUCUGCAUCGAGCUAGAACCACUCCCAGGAUUGUUUGGUUCUAUGAUAUAGCAAAGUCCAUGUACGCUUAAGCGAGUGUGCUAGAUUUUUGUGGCUUCUUUUGAUUGAAAGGGGCUAAGAUAAUUACAGCAGCCCUGCCCUGUUUAACUCAAAAAUAUCACCCAAAUCAAAAACCAACCAAAGGAUCUGAAUAGCCAUUCAUCCAAAGAAGAUGAACAGAUUGCCAACAAACUCUUCAAAAGAUGUUCAACAUGGUUGAUCACCGGGAGAACUCGAAUCAAAAGCACAAUGGAUAGAACUUCAUGCUCUUUAACAUAUAUUUAAUUUAAGAAAUUUGGUCAAUAACAAGUGCUGGAAAGAUUGUAGAGAAGUCAAAAGCCUUGUACAUCACUGGUGGAGAUGGACAUGAGGAGCGCAGCCUCGGACAGUGAAGGGAUUACCAUGUGACCCCUAGGUGCAUGCCCAGAGGACAGGCAAAUGCACGUCCACAGAAGAAAUUGCAUGCGAGUGUUCAUAAGCUGACUCUGGAGGUGAUGUUAUGCAAUUCCAGCAUUCAGUAGGCUGAAGCAAGAGGACAACUACUCCAAGCUACUUGGCUACUUAGUAAGUGUCAGGCUAGUCUGGACUAGUGCAAGCAUGUCUAAAACCAAAACAAAUAGAAUGCUCAUUGCAGGUACAUUCCUAAUACCUAAAAAUCAAAGUUCAUCAAUAGAACAGAUCAACACAUUGUGACAUGCUUUUAGAGAAAGUGGGCACAAUGAGAAAAGAAAGAACUACUAAUAGGCAAAGUCAUGGAUGAAUCUGGAUAUGUGCCAAGUGAAAGAAAGCAGACAUAAUACACAUGGCUGCAUUUCACUUACCUGAGGUCCAACAUCAGGCAAACUUGCCAUGGAGACAGAAAUUAGAAAGUGUUUGUCUUAUUGUAAGAGCUGAGUGGUGGAGGCAUAAGACUUGGAGUUUGACUAGAAAGAGACAAAGGGUGGAAUAACUUUCUGGAACUUUAAGUGAUAGUUAUAAGGGUAUGUAUCAUUAUUAAAACUUCCUGGAUCUUAACAUUGGCAUACCUUGCUUUUAAAAUACUGAACAUUAUACUGUUGCAUGUAGCCUUUCGUAACCCACCUAUGCUCCAGGGAUGGGCCAUGCUACCAGCCCCCCACCCAGUUUCUCUUGAAUCCAUGGAUAAAACACACACACGCUCACACACACACACACACACACACACACACACACACACGUUCAUUUUUAACUUGCCUGCUUGGCACAAUGGCUGGGCAUUACUAUCUCCUGCCUGGAAAACAUGCCCUUACUACUCUAGCUCCGCUCCUCCUCCCACCUGCCCUAACGUUUAGCUGGCCAAUUGAAUCUAGUCCCUGCUAAACAUCUCUAAUUACCUGAUAUAAGAGUGGUCACAGCCCACCAUUCCUCCCGAGACCUCACAUGGCUGUUCUUCUCUCUCCAAAGCAUGGCAAACUUCCUCUUUCUCCCUUGCAUCUGUCUCCCUUUCUUCCAGGGACCUGGAAGUCCUCCCUGUACCGUCCACCCAGCAAUUGGCUUUCUUUACUAACAUAUCAAGAACCAAUUGGGGAACAGGACCUUACCUUCAUAACCACCCAUACAUUGUACUUUAAAUGUUUACUAUGUUUUCAUCUUAGAUGAAGCCACCCACUCAGUUUAUGUGACCUUGGUGUCAGAUGCUGUCCUAUCACAA